CACCGAUCCAGUCAGCGGCUUUGUUUUUUGCUCGAAAACUACUGUUCUUCACUAUCUAGAAACUGGAGAGAUUGCUGAAACUGCUUUUUUACCAAAGAAGGACAACAGUGGCCAAAUUUUAGUUAAUGCAGAUGAAUCACAACUCCCAGCAGCUAAGAGGAAGAAAGUGAAACAUCUUGCUGACGGCUCGUUAUAGGUGGGGAGACAUCUGAUAGGAGUAUCUUACCUGACCUAGACACGGAGACCUUCGAG